rnacentral:rRNA from 1 species
CGACGGGUGAGUAACACGUAUGCAACCUGCCUGCCACAGCCGGAUAAUCGGGAGAAAUUCCGUCUAAUACGGCAUAAUGCAUCGACGGGACAUCCUGUUGGUGCCAAAGGUUAAUUCCGGUGGCGGAUGGGCAUGCGUCGCAUUAGUUAGUUGGCGGUGUAACGGACCACCAAGACGACGAUGCGUAGGGGUUCUGAGAGGAAGGUCCCCCACACUGGUACUGAGACACGGACCAGACUCCUACGGAAGGCAGCAG